rnacentral:rRNA from 1 species
AGUGAACGCUGGCGGUAGGCCUAACACAUGCAAGUCGAACGGCAGCACAGUAAGAGCUUGCUCUUACGGGUGGCGAGUGGCGGACGGGUGAGGAAUACAUCGUAAUCUACUUUUUCGUGGGGGAUAACGUGGGGAAACUUACGCUAAUACCGCAUACGACCUACGGGUGAAAGCAGGGGAUCUUCGGACCUUGCGCGAUUGAAUGAGCCGAUGUCGGAUUAGCUAGUUGGCGGGGUAAAGGCCCACCAAGGCGACGAUCCGUAGCUGGUCUGAGAGGAUGAUCAGCCACACUGGAACUGAGACACGGUCCAGACUCCUACGGGAGGCAGCAGUGGGGAAUAUUGGACAAUGGGCGCAAGCCUGAUCCAGCCAUACCGCGUGGGUGAAGAAGGCCUUCGGGUUGUAAAGCCCUUUUGUUGGGAAAGAAAAGCAGCAGGUUAAUACCCCGCUGUUCUGACGGUACCCAAAGAAUAAGCACCGGCUAACUUCGUG